GCUGUGUAACCUUCCCCGUUCUGUUUGCAGAUCGGCAGUAUAAUUCUUCACCCCUAUUGCAAAUACAGGAUGGGAGAGGUGUCUCAUGGGAAAAAUAAUAAGAAAUACAAAAUCAUAGCUCUGCCAUGUUUUGAAAGUGCUUUAGGUUGGUGAGUGGAUAAAUGAAAGCUCAACUCUGUGGAGAUGUAAGUGUAAUUUAAUCCACUUUCAGUCUCUGUCCUUGAGUUAGUGUUCAGCCUUCUGAGAGCCGUUUCUUCCUUUUGAGCCCUUUGUGUAUGAGCCGUGUGUGUUUGUUCAGCCACUGCUGUUGCAUGACCACCUCCACCCAGCCCUGAGUCCAAAGGUUCACCAGUUUCCUUUAGCUCAUAAAUCUGAAGGUGGGUGAGAUAAGGCAGGCUCUGCAAACUGCGCUCUGUUUUAAUGAUAUGGUUAUUGCUUAAGAUCCAGUGCUCUGCAAGUCAAAGAUACAAAAUGCAUUGCAAUUUAAAGUUCAAUUAUUCUGUUAUUACUGUUUGAAACUGUAGUUGGCACUCGUAUUAUUAAUUUAGAAAGUAAGGGAUGUAAGAGGUAGGCAGGCAGUCAUUAUAUCACGUACGUUUAUGUCCACACACAUUCUCACUUUCACCAAAGGAAAUUAGGGCUACCGAAGGCACAAGUAACUUUGGACUGAUGCUCUCCUGCCUGAGAUAGAGCUGAUAUACAGAAGGGGAAGCCAGAAUGAGCCAGCAGCAGCCGUCUUCUUCCAUCGCUCUGCAUUAGUGGACCUACAGUUGUAAGAAACACUGCUGUUGUAAGUCAGAAUGGCUUCAGAAACAUGCCUUCCUAACACAGUGCCUCUAUAAACUCUUGUUUAAGGCAAAGCACAAGAGUUAGUAGCAUUUCUCACAUUUUGGUGUAAUGAAUUCAGUCCAUGAAACCAUGGAAUGACAAAGGCAAUCUGCAAAAACAGGCAGCGUUUACCUGAAAUAUUUAAUUUUAAGAAUACACCAUGAUUCAAAAAACUGAAGGGAGUAUAAACUGGGGCACAAAAUGUUCAAGAACUGUUAAAUCACUGUCAUUCUAAUCUCUUUUAAUUGUUCACCAGAUAAUAGCUGUUGGAAACAGAAAGACAAAAACCAAGCAUGCUGAGUCAGAUGCGGGUCACUGUCUCCUGAAAUGCAGCUGUCAGGAGCUGGAUGCCUCUGAGAGUGGAAGCAUUGAGUCUGAAAUGCUCUAUUGAGUGCAGCAGAGGAACCUGGCCUGAUGUGCAGCAGUGGGGAGAGGCCAGGUGCAGUAAGGCAGCAUUUGUGCCUGUGGAGCCAAGCCCGGAGUGACAGCCAGCCUUGCCUCUGGGAGCUCACGGCUCAGAGAUGUGAGGAGGAAGCACUUUGCCCUUCCUCACUGUAGGAGGAAACACUGGAGUCAAUUGCUCUGUUACACACAGCAGAGUCACUAAAUCAGAAUGUACAGCUUUUGCCCUGUAACUGUUCUGGCACCACUCAUGCUGGUAGUGUUGAUCAAGCUUGCUCCCGUUUUCCACUUCUCCCCCAGAAGGCCUUAACAUCACCAGGGCACCUUGGCCCGGGGUGAAAACUUGUCCCAUCCACUGAGGUAGUAAAAAAGAAUAAUCAAGAGUGGGAAACAGUCUGAUAUUCUUCUGUUUCUGCUUGAGUACUCCUUGAGGAAGAUCCUUUAGAUCCUGCUGAUACUUCCAAGCUGACCGUGAGUACACAGAGCUGAGGUCCAGCUGCUUAUCCCUUGGUGGUUUCCACCAGAGAAACUAUGAGAAAGGUGAUUUGGUGACGGUUCUAAAGUAAGUCAUUCAGUGGAAGGGACUAACCUUCCCAGUGGCACCUUAAUGUUGUAAAGACAAGUUGCUUCCUGAAAGAAGGCUGGGUUUCACAGGAGCAGUGUCAUGUUGGCACAAGCUUUGUGUUCUCAGCCUCUGCCAAACGCAAUGGUGUAUCACCUGGUCUGUGUCCUUGAAGUGUGCCUCCAACUGCUGCUGGUUUUUGUAGAAGUUUAGGCCGAUACACAGUCUGCAGAAUCAGGUUCUUUAAACCUAAAUUAACAUUCUGUUGAAGACUAAACAUAUGUUGUUUUUCUUCACUGUCAACAAUUUAGUUUCCAGGUUUGGAAAAGAAACAUUGCUGGGGAGGAAUCCAAUGAAUUUAUUAAUGAGCUGGGUAAGUACGGAACUAUUAAUAUCUCCUGAGAUCUUGUUUGUGUUAUUUUUGUCCUCAGCUUCAGACUCUGAAAUAAACAGAUGUUCUGAAGCCUUCCACUGAGAGUACUACUGUGUGUUAGGUCCUAUUUUAAAUACAUUGUGAUUACCAGGAUGUUGUAGGAAACGGGUAAAUAGCUGAGUACGAUGCUUCUGAAACAGUUUGUGCCAUUACCUGAAAUCUUUAUUUCAGAUUGCAGUGAUGACACAAAUAAGAAAAUAUCUGAAGUGCUUCUUAUAUGUAACUAAUGAUUUUUGUUUCUAGUCAUAAAUCUGAGUAGAGAAAUUGAAACAUUACUUUAUUCUACAGUGUUGUCAGUGCACGUUCAAACUCCUGUUCAUCAUUUUGUGGCAUGACUGACAAAACAGCCUGCCUGUCCUGGGCACAUACUGAACAGAUGAGUGCUUCCAUUCGUCUAAGAAGGUCUCUAUUUAUUUCUCAGUCUAUUCUGAUCAGAGAUACCACUUUGAGUCUCAAUGUAACUGACAUCUUUGGCAAUCCCACCGACACUGAAAUACUGAGGUCCUUUGCUCUCUAUCAUCUCAAGAAUUUGAGAAGGGCAUCAGAAAAUGGCUUGUUGUUUUCACAUGUUGGGAAGGGGAAGAAAUAUUUGACCUUGAAACUGAGUUCAACUGUCUGUAUCACUUAGAUGCUGCUCUAUCUUAACCCAGAUGUUAAAGGAGACUAACCAAUCACUUAUGCUAGUGGUCCUGAGGUGAAAUACAAAACAAAAGAUCCAUCUGCUUAUUGCAGGAAGAGGUCAGGCUGCUUGGCUAACACUUAACUCCCGUUUGUAUUCAGUCAUUACUGGUCCUAUUUAUAAUGAGGGAAAUUCAGCUCUAGAGAGAGCUGGAUAUGAGGCCUCUGAAGUCAGUGGUGAGCCUUACCCUGAGUCUGAUGCCUCAGC
ensembl:lncRNA